AUCUACCUCUUUGAUCGGAAGGGUUUCCUUCCGAUCAGGGAGGUACAUCUACCUCUUUGAUCGGAAGGGGUUCCUUCCAAUCAACGAGGUAGAU
rnacentral:miRNA from 1 species